rnacentral:rRNA from 1 species
UGGGGAAUAUUGGGCAAUGGGCGCAAGCCUGACCCAGCAACGCCGCGUGAAGGAAGAAGGCUUUCGGGUUGUAAACUUCUUUUUCUCAGGGACGAAGCAAGUGACGGUACCUGAGGAAUAAGCCACGGCUAACUACGUGCCAGCAGCCGNGGUAAUCUCGAUCUAUCAGUGUCCUACGGGAGGCAGCAGUGAGGAAUAUUGGUCAAUGGGCGUUAGCCUGAACCAGCCAAGUAGCG